rnacentral:rRNA from 1 species
GAAGGGCGUGGCAAGCUGCGAUAAGCCUUGGUGAGACGCAUGCAGUCUUUGACCCAGGGAUGCCUGAAUGGGGAAACCAUUAACUCUCAAUAGAGAGAGGGAACGCGGGGAAUUGAAUCAUCUUAGUACCCGCAGGAAAAGAAAGCAAUCGCGAUGCCGUUAGUAAAGUCGAUCGAAAACGGUAUAGAUCAAACUGAAUCCUUGCAAGUAAUUGCAGGGAGAUGUGGUGUUCGCAGAAACGUUUGCAAUCUUGAAAUUUUAGUUGAAGUUCCCUGGAACGGGAUGCCAUAGAGGGUGAUAGCCCCUUAAAUUAUAAAUGGAGAGAUUGUGUUUCUUGCAGAGUAGCAUACGUUGGAAAUCGUGUGUGAAUAUGGGGGACAAUAGCCUCUAAAUCUAAACAUUACUCAAGUCCGAUAGCGUAUUAGUACGGCGACGGAAAGUUGAAAAAUAUCUGUAAAAGGAUGUGAAAAGAGUCUGAAACUAUGUGGUUACAAGCAGGUAUGGCAUGAAAGGACGCUUCGUGCGACCAGUGUCAUACCGUUCGUUUCGAAAAAUGAGGUAGGGAGUGUGCCUAAGUGGUGAGGUUAAUUUUCUUACGAGAAGAAGCCGUAGGGAAACCAAUUACCCGCAGUUUACGAGGGGUAGCGUUUUAAUAUGCGUUUAAUCACUUGGGUACUACCUGAAUCCGUUCGAUCUAAUCCUGGGCAGGAUGAAAUGCUUCGAAAGGAGCAUGGAGGUCCGAAUCCGGUUGUGUAUAGCCUUCGGGUGACCUGGGAUUAGGGGUGAAAAGCCAAUCGAGAACGGCGAUAGCAGGUUCCACUCGAAAUGGGCCGUAGCCCAGCCUGGAGCGAGGUUGUUAUCGGUGUAGAGCUACUGAUCGAGUAUUUAGGGGGAGAAAUCCCUCGGUAUUCUGUCAAACUCCGAAGCCGAUAAUGCUGUAGACCUCUGGAGUGAGUUUCACGGGGUAAUCCCGUGAUGCAAGAGGGAAACAACCCAGACGUAAGUUAAGGCCCUUAAGUGUUUGCUAAGUGUAAAUCAAGAUUGUUUAAGACCUUAUACAGUAGGGAAGUAGGCUCAGAAGCAGCCAUCUUUUAAAGAAAGCGUAACAGCUCACCUACCUAGGUUUUAGGCGUCGCUAAUGGACGGGGCUAAAGCAAACCGCCGAUACUUACGAACUCUUAAAAAGAGAUUUAGUAGAGUGGCGUUGUGUUAGGGCAGAAGCAAGGUUGUGAGAUCUUGUGGACCUUUCAUGAACGAGUAUCCUACCGGUAGUAGUAGUAAAAAGCAAGGUGAGAAUCCUUGUCGCCGAAAGAAUAAGGGUUUCCCGGCAAUGUUCGUCAACCGGGAGUUAGUCGAUCCUAACUCAAGUCCUAACUGGAACUUGUGGGAAUGGGAAGCAGGUAAAUAUUCCUGCACUACAAUAAAUGCAUGAGCUUGCUCGUGUAUAGACUUUGACGCUUUGGGAUAUGCCGACCGCGCUUGUCUGCGUGGUCAAGUAUAUAAGUUCAUGGAGUACCGUCAUGGUGAGAAGUGAAUGAAAGUACGAGUAGCAGUUCUUAUGAAUUGUUCGGCAAAUUUCUAGAGCCCAUGAAAAUCUGUCUAUAAAGUGUUUAUUUGUAAUCGUACUCAGAACCAUUACUGGUGUUCUAGGUUAAAAGCCUAAGGUGUUUCGGGAGUAAUCCAACUUAAGGAACUCAGCAAAUUAGCCCUGUAUCUUCGGUAGAAGGGGUGCCCAUGACUGUAUCUUCGGAUAUAAAUCGUGGGCUUCAAUAAAAAGGGGGGCUCGACUGUUUACCAAAAACGUAGCUGGCUGCUAGACCGAAAGGUUUUGUAUAGCUGGUGACUCUUGCCCAGUGCAGGUAUCAAAAGCUCUGUUUCAACGGAGUGAAUGACCUGUAAACGGCGGUCGUAACUAUGACGAUCUUAAGGUAGCGUAAUCCCUUGCCGAUUAAUUGUCGGCCCGCAUCAAUAGAGUAACGAAGUCCCCACUGUCUUAAGUUGGAAACCGGCGAACCUGAUAUUUUGGUGCACAAUCCAAAGCCUUCCAGAGGGAAGCGAAGACCCCAUGGAGCUUCACUGCAGUCUGUUGUUGUGGUAUGAAGUUAGUUGUAAAGUGUAGAUAGUAGACAUCGAAGUUUAUUCGCAAGGGUAAACGGAGUCGCUCAUGUGACACUAUCCUACUGACUUUGUACUGCUUACCCUGUUUACGCAGGGGACACCGAUUGAUGGGCAGUUUGGCUGGGGCGGCACACCCCUAAUAAUUUAUCAGGGGUGCCCAAUGGUAUCCUCAGACGGAACGGAAACCCGUCGUAGAGCGUAAAAGUAAAAGGAUGCCUGACAGGAUUUUGAUCAGCGAGAAAUCCUGCUACGAAAGUAUGGUUUAGCGAACCCUAGAUACUUCCUAUUGAGGUACUAGGAUGACAGAAAAGCUACCCUGGGGAUAACUGAGUUGUCCGGUGCGAGAGUUCAUAUCGACCACCGGGUUUGCUACUUCGCUGUCGGCUCUUCUCAUCCUGGCUGUGCACAAGCAGCCAAGGGUGGGGGUGUUCACCCAUUAAAGAGGAUCGUGAGCUGGGUUCAGAACGGCGCGAGCCAGUUUGGUUGCUAUCUUCUGGAAGUGUUUAUAUCUGAGGGUAAGGCCUGGAGAGUACGAAAGGAACACCAGACCGGGGCCAAUGGUGAGCCAGUGAUCUGACAAGGUUUCUGGAUAGCUACGCCCUAAGCGAUAAGAGCUGAACGCAUCUAAGCUCGAAGUGCAUCCCAAAAAUAGAUAUUAAGGCUCUUGUAUAAGACAAGUUUGAUAGGCCGGAAGUGUAAUUGCAGUAAUGCAUUCAGCUGACCGGUACUAACCGCC